CACACAUUGCAAUAUACUUUUUAAAAAUAUAUUUGCCAUAAAUAAUAAACAACUGAUUUUGGCCCUGAAGUCAAGAGAAUUGAACAAGUAGCUUCUGAGAUCAAGAAUGCCUGCUUUUACACUGAGAAAAUACAGUGUCAACAAAGGCUGAAUACAGUCGUCAAAAGAGCAAUUGGAAGCCAGCUAGUUUGAACUGUGCUUUAGCAUUUAAGAGCUGAGUGACCUUGGCAGAUUAAGAAUUACUGGAGGAAAAGUCCUAAAUUCAACAGAAUUUGUAUGCUCUCUGCUGGACAUGAG